GCCUGGAAAAUUCCCUGGACAGAGGAGACAGGUGGCUACAGUCCAUGGGAUUGCACAGAGUCAGACAUGACUUCACUUUCACUUUCAGCCCCUCUAUAAGCCCAUAAGAUUCAAGCCCCCACCACUCCUUGAGAAAAGUGACCUCAUCAGUUGCAUUCAACUUGUAUCAUUAGUACCUGGAUCUACAAACAAACAAAAAAAUCACUCAAUGCUUAUUUGUUGAAUGGAUGAAUAGAUGGAUGAAAGGCAUCUUAGAGGUCAGCUAGUCCAACCUCUUCACUUUUAGAGAUUUUUCAUUCCUAGAAAUAAACUGCAAAAAAUUAAACCAUCAUGGACAACCUAGUGCUUUUGUGUGAGUGGGUGUCUAUGGCAUAUGCAGCUGAAACAAAGGAGGUAUACACUAACCUUUUUUGAGUAACACCACCAUGUUGCCUUGCAUAAAGAGCACUUAUUUUCACCUGGAGUCUACCAAUCACCAGAAUCACUGUGAGAACCAGUUAUUUUUAUGUGCUUCUGUUUUUUCCUCUGUGUUUUACAUCUGAUUGCUCUGCUGUUUGACAAGGAAUUUUACCACCCGGUAGAUGCAGCAUGUGGGGAAAACUCCUGUUCCUGUGGGGUGACGUCUCUGCUUCUGGGCAUAAGGUGAGGAGGCAUCUGGUGACCUCCCUGCUUGUGCUGCCUGGUACCCUGAGGCUCUGCAGAAAUUACUGUGUGAUCGUUCACCUUGGCUCAGCCUGAGAGCUACUGUGACAGAUUUAUUGGCUCUGAAACAUUUAUCCAAGCAGAACCUCUAAACCAAUAUACGUUUUCAGUCACACACACUCUAGGGAGAGGGGGAGGGGAAGUCUAAGGCAUGGAACUCUGCAGAGAUGUAAGUCCACCCCUCACUUCACUCUUGCAAAUUUGAGAAAUGAAAUGCAUAAUUUCUUCCAACCUCAGGUGUGUCUCUUUUUUUAACCAGUUUUUCUCAGUCAGUUGGUACAGAAAAAAAAGUACAUUAAUAAAAGAAAAUUAGUUCUAAUGAGAUGGAUGAAACUGGAGCCG